rnacentral:rRNA from 1 species
AAUGAACGCUGGCGGCGUGCUUAACACAUGCAAGUCGAGCGAGAAAGCUCCCUUCGGGGAGUGAGUAAAGCGGCGAACGGGUGAGUAACACGUGGGUAACCUGCCUGGGAGCGGGGGAUAACCUGGGGAAACUCGGGCUAAUACCGCAUACGCUCCUCGAGCCUCGGCUCGAGGAGGAAAGCUUGCCUCUGCGUGCAAGCUGGCACUCCCAGAGGGGCCCGCGCCCGAUUAGCUUGUUGGUGGGGUAACGGCCCACCAAGGCUGCGAUCGGUAGCCGGCCUGAGAGGGUGAUCGGCCACACUGGGACUGAGACACGGCCCAGACUCCUACGGGAGGCAGCAGUGGGGAAUAUUGGACAAUGGGGGAAACCCUGAUCCAGCAACGCCGCGUGGAGGACGAAGGCUUUCGGGUCGUAAACUCCUGUCAGAUGGGACGAAAUGCCACCGGUGAAUAUCCGGUGGAGCUGACGGUACCAUCAGAGGAAGCCCCGGCUAACUCCGUGCCAGCCGCCGCGGUAAAAC